rnacentral:rRNA from 1 species
UACGUAGGGUGCGAGCGUUAAUCGGAAUUACUGGGCGUAAAGCGUGCGCAGGCGGUUCGUUGUGUCCGUCGUGAAAGCCCCGGGCUUAACCUGGGAACUGCGAUGGAAACUAGCGAGCUGGAGUGUGGCAGAGGGGGGUGGAAUUCCGCGUGUAGCAGUGAAAUGUGUAGAUAUGUGGAGGAAUACCGAUGGCGAAGGCAGCCCCCUGGGUCAAGACUGACGCUCAUGCACGAAAGCGUGGGGAGCAAACAGG